CCUACGGGAGGCUGCAGUGGGGAAUAUUGCGCAAUGGAGGGAACUCUGACGCAGCGACGUCGCGUGAGCGAAGAAGGUCUUCGGAUCGUAAAGCUCUGUCUUUGGGGAAGAAGGAAGUGACGGUACCCAAGGAGGAAGCCCCGGCUAACUACGUGCCAGCAGCCGCGGUAACACGUAGGGGGCAAGCGUUGUCCGGAAUCACUGGGCGUAAAGGGUGCGUAGGCGGUAUGCCAAGUCAGGUGUGAAACCCCAUGGCUCAACUGUGGGCUUGCACAUGAAACUGGUAUGCUUGAGUGCAGGAGAGGAAAGCGGAAUUCCUAGUGUAGCGGUGAAAUGCGUAGAUAUUAGGAGGAACACCAGUAGCGAAGGCGGCUUUCUGGACUGUAACUGACGCUGAGGCACGAAAGCGUGGGGAGCAAACAGGAUUAGAUACCCCAGUAGUC
rnacentral:rRNA from 2 species